GACGAACGCUGGCGGCGUGCCUAAUACAUGCAAGUUGAGCGAUGAAGAUUGGUGCUUGCACCAAUUUGAAGAGCAGCGAACGGGUGAGUAACGCGUGGGGAAUCUGCCUUUGAGCGGGGGACAACAUUUGGAAACGAAUGCUAAUACCGCAUAAUAACUUUAAACAUAAGUUUUAAGUUUGAAAGAUGCAAUUGCAUCACUCAAAGAUGAUCCCGCGUUGUAUUAGCUAGUUGGUGAGGUAAAGGCUCACCAAGGCGAUGAUACAUAGCCGACCUGAGAGGGUGAUCGGCCACAUUGGGACUGAGACACGGCCCAAACUCCUACGGGAGGCAGCAGUAGGGAAUCUUCGGCAAUGGACGAAAGUCUGACCAAGCAACGCCGCGUGAGUGAAGAAGGUUUUCGGAUCGUAAAACUCUGUUGGUAGAGAAGAACGUUGGUGAGAGUGGAAAGCUCAUCAAGUGACGGUAACUACCCAGAAAGGGACGGCUAACUACGUG
rnacentral:rRNA from 1 species